rnacentral:rRNA from 1 species
AACGUACGCUGGCGGCACGCCUAACACAUGCAAGUCGAACGCAGUAGCAAUACUGAGUGGCAGACGGGUGAGUAACAUGUGGGAAUCUGCCUUGUGGUUCAGGACAACAUUGGGAAACCGAUGCUAAUACUGGAUAAGCCCUUACGGGGAAAGUUUUAAUGCCAUAAGAUGAGCCCGCAUUUGAUUAGUUAGUUGGUGAGGUAAUGGCUCACCAAGACAAUGAUCAAUAGCUGAUCUGAGAGGAUGAUCAGCCACACUGGGACUGAGACACGGCCCAGACUCCUACGGGAGGCAGCAGUGGGGAAUCUUGCACAAUGGAGGAAACUCUGAUGCAGCGAUGCCGCGUGAGUGAAGAAGGCCUUUGGGUUGUAAAGCUCUUUUGUAGGGGAGGAUAAUGACUGUACCCUAAGAAUAAGGUCCGGCUAACUUCGUGCCAGCAGCCGCGGUAAUACGAAGGGACCUAGCGUAGUUCGGAAUUACUGGGCGUAAAGCGCGCGUAGGCCGUUGAGUUAGUUAAUUGUGAAAUCCCAAAGCUUAACUUUGGAACUGCAAUUAAACUGCUCGACUAGAGUUUGAUAGAGGAAAGCGGAAUACAUAGUGUAGAGGUGAAAUUCGUAGAUAUUAUGUAGAACACCAGUUGCGAAGGCGGCUUUCUGGAUCAACACUGACGCUGAGGCGCGAAAGUAUGGGUAGCAAAGAGGAUUAGAUACCCUCGUAGUCCAUACCAUAAACGAUGAUUGCUAGAUGUUGGAAAUUUAUUUUCAGUAUCGCAGCUAACGCAUUAAGCAAUCCGCCUGGGGAGUACGACCGCAAGGUUAAAACUCAAAUGAAUUGACGGGGACCCGCACAAGCGGUGGAGCAUGUGGUUUAAUUCGAAGAUACGCGCAGAACCUUACCAACCCUUGACAUGUCUGUCGCGAGUUUAGGAAACUAGACUUUUCGGUUCGGCCGGACAGAACACAGGUGCUGCAUGGCUGUCGUCAGCUCGUGUCGUGAGAUGUUGGGUUAAGU